AUUGAACGCUGGCGGCAGGCCUAACACAUGCAAGUCCGGCGGGCGGCGGACGGGUGAGUAAUGUAUGGGGCUCUGCCUGCUGGAGGGGGAUAACUACUGGAACCGGUAGCUGAUCACGCAUACCAUCCGCUGAACCCAUAUGGGAUUAGCUUGUAGGUGAGGUAACGGCUCACCUUGGCGACGUUCCCUAGCUGGUCUGAGAGGAUGAUCAGCCACACUGGGACUGAGACACGGCCCAGACUCCUACGGGAGGCAGCAGUGGGGAGUAUUGCACAAUGGGCUGAAGCCUGAUGCAGCCAUGCCGCGUGUAUGAAGAAGGCCUGCGGGUUGUAAAGUACUUUCAGUCGGGAGGCGUUACCGACAGAAGAAGCACCGGCUAACUCCGUGCCAGCCGCCGCGGUAAUAC
rnacentral:rRNA from 1 species